UGUGAAUUUAUGAGGACGCUGUACAGAUAAGAGUGGGGCUAUGUAGAAUAGAUAUUGGUUAGUUUUUAUAAGAUAUUGGUAAAAUAGACUAAUAGUCCAUAGAAUAGUCAGUUCAAUAGGAUGGAUGGUUGAUUUAGUUAUUAAAAGCGGUUAUUAUAGGAUUACAAUUAGAAUCUAGAAAUCAAUAGCAAUUAUAUAGGAGUUGUAGAAGUUUGUUGGGGUGCCAGACUGUGAUAGUCAUGAGCCGGGGUUAAGCUUGGUGCUACCUCUUUGUUUCUUUGUUUUCUUUGUUGUUGAAGAGUAAUGAAUAGUUUCUAAAUAC
rnacentral:lncRNA from 1 species